AUUGGUAAUCAAAGGGUGAUGUGUAAUUUGUGAAUAAGUAGUGAUUUGUGCAGUUUUAGUGGGCACAAAACUGCAACAUGAGUAUUUACUAGAGUGAGAAUUAUCAGGAUUCCAGAGCGAAUUUUAAAUUUAGGGCCAAAGUAGCCAGACACACUACUUGUUCACCAUGAGAACCUGCCAAAUUAUGUAUUUGAGCUUUACAUACCAUACAUUUAUGUUUGAGAACUUUCUGAUUAGCAUCAUU